UUAGCUAUUGAGACUACUGAGUUGGGGUUAUGGGGCCUCAGCAGCUUGUUUAACAGAUAGGAAGCUGGCAUUAGGAUCAGGAUUGUUAUCUGCACCUGGUGCCAUGUGGCGUGUAUGGCUGGCUAGGAACCUUCAACCCCCAGAAAUUCCUGGAUUAAGAGAAGUAGUAGCCCUUACUUGGCGAUUCCUCAAAGACGACGCUUGGGGAAGCAGCCACAUUGGGCUUCUGAAAGACCCUGGAUUUGUGGAACCAUUGAAGAAUUGAAUCAAAAGAUUUUUCUCUUUGAGAGAGAGCGGUGGAUGGCCAGCUGCACUACUUCUACAACAAUACAUCACACAGAUAAUAGGAAGCACUUCGCCAGAGAGCUCUUUGAUUUAAUAUAAAAGGCUCAUGGGUUUUUGUCAUAAAGCGAAUGGGACAUUGUAAAUUUGACUGCACAUACUGUACUAUAGGCAGACGGCUAACAGUUAUAGAAUUCAAUUUGUGUUACCAUCACAAUUAAAGGGUUGGAUAAUGA